GACGAACGCUGGCGGCGUGCUUAACACAUGCAAGUCGAACGGAAAGGCCCUGCUUUUGUGGGGUGCUCGAGUGGCGAACGGGUGAGUAACACGUGAGUAACCUGCCCUUGACUUUGGGAUAACUUCAGGAAACUGGGGCUAAUACCGGAUAGGAGCUCCUGCUGCAUGGUGGGGGUUGGAAAGUUUCGGCGGUUGGGGAUGGACUCGCGGCUUAUCAGCUUGUUGGUGGGGUAGUGGCUUACCAAGGCUUUGACGGGUAGCCGGCCUGAGAGGGUGACCGGCCACAUUGGGACUGGAAUACGGCCCGGACUCCUAGGGGGGGCAGCAGGGGGGAAUAUUGCACAAGGGGCGGAAGCCUGAUGCAGCAACGCCGGGUGCGGGAGGACGGCCUUCGGGUGGAAAACCGCUUUCGCCGGUGACGAAGGGUGAGUGAGGUAAAGGGGUAAAGAAGCACCGGCUAACUACGU
rnacentral:rRNA from 1 species